UCUCUCUCUCUCUUCCGGAGGAAGGAGGGGCGAGCGAAGGUCCUGCUUUGUGGGCGGCGGAAAGGUAGCUUCUGAAAAAAUCUUUUGAAGAACACCAUGUGAGAGCUUGGCCCAAGGGAUGCCCUAGGUCUCAAAUGACUUGAAGGUAUACAGCAAUGACAACAAUAAAUAAGUAGGAGGGAAAUAUAUUUCAAGCUACAUACCUGGAGGAGGAAAUGGAAUAGUGUGUUGUAAAAAGAGGGCUUGAGAAAGAAACCAAAAGCCUGCAACAAUAAAAGACCAAGAAGAGGAUAUCCUGUGCUGUUUAGGAGUUCAUAUUUGUGAACAUCUAGCAUAAUAUUUGAAUCAUAAAUUUAAAAGAAUGGAAACUCUUCUACAUCCCUAUCCCAAAUCACACCCAGGAGAGAUCCUACAUAAAUGUAUGGAAUGUGGGAAAGGGUUCAGUGGGAGAAGUUCUCUUCUGAAACAUCAAAGGACCCAUACUGGGGAGAAGCCAUAUAAAUGUAUGGAAUGUGGGAAGAUGUUCUCUCAGAGUGGACAUCUCCAUGCCCAUCAAAGGACCCACACAGGAGAGAAGCCAUAUCAGUGCAUUGAAUGUGGAAAGAGCUUCAGUCAGAGUGGAGAGCUGCGUUGCCAUAAAAGAACCCACACUGGGGAGAAGCCCUAUCAAUGCAUGGGAUGUGGAAAGAGCUUCCGUGACAGCAGCAAUCUUUGUUCCCAUCAAAGGACCCACACAGGAGAGAAGCCACAUAAAUGUAUGGACUGUGGAAAGAUCUUCAGUCAGAGAGGACAUCUGUGUUGCCAUGAAAGGACACACACAGGAGAGAAGCAACAUAAAUGCAUUGAAUGUGGAAAGAGUUUCAUUCAGAGUGGAGAACUGCGUUCACAUCAAAGGACCCACACAGGAGAGAGGCCAUAUCAGUGCACAGAAUGUGGAAAAAGCUUCAUUCAGAGUGGACAUUUGCAUUUGCAUCAAAGGACCCACACAGGGGAGAAGCCAUAUCAAUGCAUGGAAUGUGGAAAGAGUUUCAGUCGGAGAGAUCAUCUGUGUUCCCAUCAAAGAACCCACACAGGGGAGAAGCCACAUAGAUGCAUGGAAUGUGGAAAGAGCUUCUGUCACAGUGGAGAUCUGCGUUGCCAUCAAAGAACCCACACGGGGGAGAAGCCAUAUCAGUGCAAGGAAUGUAGCAAGUGCUUCAGUCACAGUGGACAUCUGCGUUGCCAUCAAAGGACCCACACAGGAGAGAAGCCGUAUCAAUGCAUAGAAUGUGGAAAGAGCUUCAGCCAGCGUAAAAAUCUGCAUUGUCAUCAAAGGACCCAUACAGGGGAAAAACCAUAUCAAUGCAUGGAAUGUGGAAAGAGCUUCAGUCAGGGUGGAAAGUUGCGCUGCCAUCAAAGGACCCACACAGGGGAGAAACCAUAUCAAUGCAUGGAAUGUGGAAAGAAAUUCAGUUACAGUAGCAAUUUGCGUUCUCAUCAAAGGAAACAUACAGAGGAGGACCAUAGAAAUGCAUGGAAUAUGGAAAUAGCUUCAGAGAAAAUUCAGCAUGUACUAGAAAUCAAAGAACUCACACACCCUUAGAAGAGGAGAGAUGCCUUUAUAUUUUCUGGUUCUCCUAAAAAGAACCUUUCAAUUUCUCCAGGCAAGGGUCCCAUCCCUCUCCAGACAGACAAAUAAUGGAAAGGUGGAAGGAAAGAAGGCGGACACCUUGCUUUUCAUCUUUCAUGGAUAGCAAUUUGUGUGGCCAUGGUCUACUCAUGAUAAACAGUAGCUCUUUGAUAGCAGAUAACAUCAUACCGUCAUACUCUAGUCCUUGCCCUUGGUGCUACUUCCUCUUGCUUAGAAUUCUGGACUCUAGCCUUGUUCCUGUAACCCUAUUCUGGGAUUGUAUUGUAUUCUGAAUCUAUAUUCUGGACUGACUUCCUUGUGAUGAAUGGAUUGAAUGAGUUGUAUGUUUGGAAUCUCGUUGGGGCCUAUUAAGGUCUGGAAAGGCUGAAGAAAUAAUCCCAAAAAUGGAAUCUAGAAAACUGCAUUAUGAAGAACAAAGGAGGUCCACUGGAAGGUGAAUACGCCAGCUUGCCAGAAUCUUACUGGCAACCAGCACCCAGAAGACGUUUUCAUCGGCCGCCCCAAGACUGUGGAACGACCUGCCAAAAGAGAUGUAACAGUAGAGGUGUGCAAAACAGCAGGAAUCCAAAUGGUAGUUUAAUGUAUUGUCGAAGGCUUUCAUGGCCGGAAUCACUGGGUUGUUGUAGGUUUUUUUGGGCUGUAUGGCCAUGGUC